CGAACGCGUUGGCCCAAUUGAUUGAUGGUGCUUGCACCUGAUUGAUUUUGGUCGCCAACGAGUGGCGGACGGGUGAGUAACACGUAGGUAACCUGCCCAGAAGCGGGGGACAACAUUUGGAAACAGAUGCUAAUACCGCAUAACAACGUUGUUCGCAUGAACAACGCUUAAAAGAUGGCUUCUCGCUAUCACUUCUGGAUGGACCUGCGGUGCAUUAGCUUGUUGGUGGGGUAACGGCCUACCAAGGCGAUGAUGCAUAGCCGAGUUGAGAGACUGAUCGGCCACAAUGGGACUGAGACACGGCCCAUACUCCUACGGGAGGCAGCAGUAGGGAAUCUUCCACAAUGGGCGCAAGCCUGAUGGAGCAACACCGCGUGAGUGAAGAAGGGUUUCGGCUCGUAAAGCUCUGUUGUUAAAGAAGAACACGUAUGAGAGUAACUGUUCAUACGUUGACGGUAUUUAACCAGAAAGUCACGGCUAACUACGUGCCAGCAGCCGCGGUAAUACGUAGGUGGCAAGCGUUAUCCGGAUUUAUUGGGCGUAAAGAGAGUGCAGGCGGUUUUCUAAGUCUGAUGUGAAAGCCUUCGGCUUAACCGGAGAAGUGCAUCGGAAACUGGAUAACUUGAGUGCAGAAGAGGGUAGUGG
rnacentral:rRNA from 2 species